AGCUUUGCGUAGUGCCGAUGUCGUAAACAAUGAUGUUUUACCAAUGUGCGAUUAUUGCUAGUUGAAAACUUCAUCCUUAAAAAAACAGAUUUUUCACUGCAACUAGUAUUUUCGAUGGUACAGAUUUUUGGUAGAAAGUGUAC